UACGAAGGGGACUAGCGUUGUUCGGAAUUACUGGGCGUAAAGCGCACGUAGGCGGCUUGUUAAGUCAGGGGUGAAAUCCUGGAGCUCAACUCCAGAACUGCCUUUGAUACUGGCGAGCUUGAGUCCGGGAGAGGUGAGUGGAACUGCGAGUGUAGAGGUGAAAUUCGUAGAUAUUCGCAAGAACACCAGUGGCGAAGGCGGCUCACUGGCCCGGUACUGACGCUGAGGUGCGAAAAGCGUGGGGGAGCAAACAGGG
rnacentral:rRNA from 1 species